rnacentral:rRNA from 1 species
GCCCAGACUCCUACGGGAGGCAGCAGUGAGGAAUAUUGGUCAAUGGUCGGGAGACUGAACCAGCCAAGCCGCGUGAGGGAUGAAGGUACAGAGUAUCGUAAACCUCUUUUGUCAGGGAACAAAGGCGGGGACGUGUCCCCGGAUGAGUGUACCUGAAGAAAAAGCAUCGGCUAACUCCGUGCCAGCAGCCGCGGUAAUACGGAGGAUGCGAGCGUUAUCCGGAUUUAUUGGGUUUAAAGGGGGCGCAGGCGGUCUUUAAAGUCAGGGGUAAAGGCCCGGGGCCCAACCCCGGCCUGCCGUUGAAACUGGCAGUCUCGAGUUGGAGAGAAGUAUGCGGAAUGCGCGGUGUAGCGGUGAAAUGCAUAGAUAUCGCGCAGAACUCCGAUUGCGAAGGCAGCAUGCCGGCUCCACACUGACGCUGAGGCACGAAAGCGUGGGUAUCGAACAGGAUUAGAUACCCGAGUAAG